CUCGGCGACAGCGUAGUCGACACGGCUAGUACGCCCACUCUCUCCCAGCUUCGGGCAAGGACCACUGACUCGACCCCGCCCAUACUUCCACGGCCCGAGAUUUCAGUGGCCAGCAUGCAUGCAUUCCAGGUUAUUUCUGUUUCAUUCGUCGGUUGUUUACGUACCUUUGUUUCGCAUUUUGACUUUGGGGUGAAAUCUUGUAGGCCCGGCAUGACGAAGAGAAGAGACUGCGGCAGGAGUUGGAAGAGAGGUUGGAGCAGGAGCGGAAGCUGAGGGAGGAGCAGGAGCAAAGGGUUGCUGCCAUGUUCGCCUACAUGCAAGGUCUAGGUGCAUCGAUAAACUAUCAACCGCCGCCAACAAUGUCGUGGCCUCCGCCACCUGCACCUCUACCACAGAUGCUCGGCGCACCGAUGAAUCAAUCGGGAGUGGCAUCAAAUGAGCCUCCGGAUCAGCACUCCCCGGCGUCACAGUGGCCAGGUUCAAGAUCUCCGCAGAGAUGAUUAAGGUAUCGUUCGGUUGUCAUGUGUGCGCUGUAUUAUGGACUAUGAUAUUAGAUUUGUGGUUGUUAGACUGCCGGAUGUUGGACUUGUAGCUGUUAAACUUGUCGAUGUUGGCCUAAUGCUUGUACUAUGGACUAUGAAUGCUUUGUGGACUAAAUUUGAACAUUAUGUGAUAUUUGUGAUAUAAAUGUGAUGUUUGUGAUGGAUGUCACA